GGCCAAAUGCACAUAGGCUUAAAACACAAUACAAUUACAUAAAUUAUCCACUUAAAGUCAUGAUUUAGGAGCCUUAACAGUGUCAAGCAUACAGUAAAUCAAGAAACACAACAGUCUCCAUAAGUCCAAACUGUUCUAUGCAAAUCCAAAAUAACAAACAUGAAGCAAGGGCACUUUAAUCGUCGUUAACAUCAAGAAGCGAUGCUACACAAAUGAAAUACAACAACACUUUUAUCGCCAGGUUGCGAUCUAGAAACUAAGGAAGGGACAUUGCUUUCGAGCAUGUUCUGGUAUCAGUUUCGACAAGUUCUCCAAAGUUGCUCCUUUCAGCUCUUGAGGUUCGAAGUUGAAGAGUGGAGGCAAGGGCCGUCCAUUAGGGAGGUGGGCAUUUGGCUCACGAAGUUCAUUAAAAAAUGGGUGGAGAAGAGCCUCUAAAGCAGUAAAUCUUAAAUUUGGUGAGUACUGGAGAAGCCUAGAGACAAGAUCUACUGCUUCAGGUGGCAUGCGCUUGUGAAAUAUUUUGUGCCACGGGUGAGCCUUGAUUUGUGGGAAUUUAAACUCUGUAUAGUUCGGAUUCAUGCAUUUGAUUUCCUCACGAGUUGGGGUGCCAAGUACCUUGAUAAUCUCAACAAGCUGAUCAACUCCACUCUCUCCAGGAAAAAGUGGCUGCCCUAGAAGCAAUUCGGCGAGGACGCAACCCACAGACCAUAUGUCAAUUGCAGUUGUGUACUCAGUAGCACCAAAAAUGAGCUCCGGAGCCCGAUAGUAACGAGAGCAAAUAUAUGAUAUGUUUGGCUCGCCCUUGACCAGAACUUUUGCACUUCCAAAAUCACAUAGCUUGACCUGAUGAGUAUGAGGGUUAACCAGAAGAUUUUGUGGCUUAAUGUCCCUGUGGCACACUCCCACACCUCCAUGAAUAUAUGCCAGAGCCCUACAAAUCUGAUAGGUAUAGAGUUUGACAUAAAUAAGAGGCAUUCGCUGAUUUGCUCUGCUGUAGUGCUUUGCUACACGGUAAACAGUCUCAGGAACGUAUUCAAGCACCAAAUUGAGAUAAAGCUCAUCCUUAUCAGUUGUUGAAAAAAAACAAUGUUUCAGAGAAACAACAUUGGGGUGAUCAAGAAGGCGCAUUGUCUGCAACUCACGGUUCUUAUAUCUCUUAUCCUGCAAAACCUUCUUGAUUGCAACAGUUUCUCCACUUUCUAGGCACUUGGCCUGAAAUACAAUUCCAAACGAGCCCUGCCCGACUACACGUUCUGCCAUGUAACUUAUAGUCUGUUUGGGUUGGCCAUUUCGACCACCAAUAGUUGUUACAAUGAUAUGGCCUGUUUCAGUUCCAUUUCCAUCAACGACGGUAGCUUCCAUUUCCUUUUCCACCUUCUCGUCCCUAAUCUUCAUUUCAUUGAUUUCCUCUGGGAGUUUAUGAACCAACAUUGCCGCAGCACUAGGUUUUCCGACUGCCGAAGCAGGUACUGUUCCCUCAGAGGCCAUGAAUUCCUUCAACAAAAUAUAUUUUCCAGUGGAGUUGCAGAAAACUUCUCACAUUUUGCACGAAAAGAGAUGAAGAAAGAGAGAAACCCUAGGAAAUUUCAUUUUCUUGUAAACCAAACAAACAAAGGAAAAUGGGAGUCUUCACACUUUCAGGGACGCUUCCUCAUGGGCUUGAGUUUGACUACAGUCUACAGAAAGACCUCUCUCGGACAGGAGCAACUAUCUUUGGAUACUUUUGUUCUUUUGUCCCUCUGAUUCUG
rnacentral:misc_RNA from 1 species